CAGUGAAUCUGUUUAUGAACUCAAGGUUUGCUGCAUUCCUUUGAGCCUGCAGACAAAAUGCUAUUCAAGAUUUGGAUGACAGCAUCUCCAAAAACCCAACUAGCAGGAAAGUGGACUGGACCUUGGGACAUAUUCCUCACCACCCCCACCAUGGUGAAACUGAUGGAAAUAAAACUUUGGACUCAUCACACCAGGAUAAAGAAAGCACCAGAGGAACAAUGGAUCGCCGAGCCUCAAGAAAACCUGAAAGUCAUCUUUCGGAAACAGUGACUUAUGUUCUCUUCAUUACCUCCUGUUUGACCCCUUGUUACAG